UAGGGAAUAUUGCACAAUGGGCGAAAGCCUGAUGCAGCAACGCCGCGUGCGCGAAGAAGGUCUUCGGAUCGUAAAGCGCUUUUCUGGGAGAUGAGAAAGGACAGUAUCCCAGGAAUAAGUCUCGGCUAACUACGUGCCAGCAGCCGCGGUAACACGUAGGAGGCGAGCGUUAUCCGGAUUCACUGGGCGUAAAGCGCGUGCAGGCGGUUCGGUAAGUUGGGCGUGAAAUCUCCCGGCUCAACUGGGAGAGGUCGUUCAAUACUACCGGACUUGAGAGCGAUAGAGGAAAAUGGAAUUCCCGGUGUAGUGGUGAAAUGCGUAGAUAUCGGGAGGAACACCAGUGGCGAAAGCGAUUUUCUGGAUCGUUUCUGACGCUCAGACGCGAAAGCUAGGGUAGCAAACGGGAUUAGAUACCCCGGUAG
rnacentral:rRNA from 1 species